AUGUGAUUUCUGCCCAGU
rnacentral:snRNA from 1 species